rnacentral:lncRNA from 1 species
CACGUGUGAGGCACUGGGUUCAAUCCUCAGCACCACAUAAAAAUAAAUAAAGGUAUUAUCUUUAUCUACAACUAAAAAAAUUUUUAAAAAAAGAAACAGCUAUGCAUAUAGAUUCAACAGUAAGUGGGCUGGUCAUGAGGGCUGUGCUGUGUAGUCUCUGGUCUCCAGACUGAGUCUCCAUGCUGUGCUGCUCUGGAUCCAAGAGCUGAUUCUGUGCAUUGCCUCCCAGGCUCCCUUAUCUAGAGGGCUCUUGGGUUUGAUUGGCUGGAACCCCAGCUGGAGGGUGAGAGCUAGGCAGGUUCCCACUUGUCAGUGAAUCCACUUCUCCACGGAAGACCACGGCCCCAGCCACCAGCUACAUUCUAGAAACACACAUAGCUUUGCCCCUGUGGGUCUCAGGUGGGCUCUUGUCUGAUUUCCUUAACCCUGACAACACCUUGGCCAAUCUUCCCUCUGCAGAGCCCUCCUUAGUUGCCCCUUCUAUUGAGUCACCCAUUUCCUGCUGGGCCCCCCACUGAAAUGCAUUUUGCAGUGCUGUGACUCUUGGGAAUCUAAGGACAUUGGCAUUGGCAUUUUGAUUGAUGUGACUAUGCUUUAACAGCACUAACUCCGUGUGGAGCUUUUCCUGGUAACACAAGCUGAGGCUGAGCUCAGGGGCUGACUGAUAGCCACCUUGAGGGCCACAUGCCAGGAUGCAAGUAAGAUAGCUGCUGCCUGGGACUUUUCCCUCCAAGGUCGACAUGUGGAAGCUGAGAUAAUGUACCUUCUGGGACUAUGAAUACCAGUGCCUUCCGACUGCCAUUUGAGACCUAUGUCAGUGUGACUCCACCCAUUGAGAGUAUUCACUCUGAAAUGGCAUUGGCCCCCAGGGGCUCUGCCUGGGUGCACAGUCCUUUGCUUCACUGCUGAUGACUUUAUGGCCUUCAGACCUGUUGGAGUGACACCUUGGAGAGAUUGGUCUUCUGGACCAUUUAGACAAAAUUUUUUCCCCCGUAGACACAGGUGUUUUGUUCAUUAUCAACAUUGUUCACUUGAUUGAUUUUCUUUUACUUAUUUUUUGUCUAUAUUUUCAUUUAUCUCCUUUGUUUGCUUUUGCUCAUUCUGCUUUUGCAUACAUUGCCAUCAACUGAUUGAUUCAGGAACUAUGUUUUGCUUGGCAUGUCAUUUGAUGGGAGAAUACAGAGCCUGCCCCUCUUGCAGGAAUUAUAACCCUUGAGGUUAAAAUUGUAGACAGGUGUCUAGGACCUGGUCCGCCUUUGUCAUUCUAGGGGGACAGCCCCUGACUGCUACAAGCCCUUCUGAGAUUGGUGAUCUCACUCUGGUGAAAUCAAUGGGACUCCAAGGAUGACUCUCCCCAGUUCUAUCAAGAAAAUAAGUCAGAGUUCUGCCAGAAUGUACACACCAUGAAAAGUCACAUCAGCUACCAAAUGGGACACAAAUAUCAAAAUGGUGGCCCAAGGGAUGUAGGGUGGAGAUGGGAGAAGUAAAGAAAGGAUAUGGCAGAGGAUCAGGGAGAUGGCAGAGAGUUGCCUUAAUGGGGGCUCUGAUGGGUCAAAGGGCAGGGGUCAUGAACUGGGUAGGAGGAGACGAACCUGCAAGCUGGAGGCUGAGGGGGUGACAUACCUGAAUUGGUGAACUCUUGGCAGGUCAGACAGCACCUGAGGCCACUUAGGGCUUUUAAAUGUCCCCAGGAAAGCUAACAAUGGAUAGGGGACUGUGCCUGGGAAAGUCAAAGAGGCAAGACAUGUGGAGGACUUACCAGUUGAACUGAGAAGAAGAUCAUACAUUUCCAAACUUAAAC